UACGAAGGGUGCAGGCGUUAAUCGGAAUUACUGGGCGUAAAGCGUGCGUAGGCGGUUUGUUAAGUCUGUUGUGAAAUCCCCGGGCUCAACCUGGGAAUGGCAAUGGAUACUGGCAAGCUAGAGUGUGUCAGAGGAUGGUGGAAUUCCCGGUGUAGCGGUGAAAUGCGUAGAGAUCGGGAGGAACAUCAGUGGCGAAGGCGGCCAUCUGGGACAACACUGACGCUGAGGCACGAAAGCGUGGGGAGCAAACAGG
rnacentral:rRNA from 1 species